rnacentral:lncRNA from 1 species
CAUGACUUGCAAACACAACUAAAUUGGGCAAAUUCAUUAGGAUAAGGUGGCAGUCGUUUGGCAACAAGAUCAAUGAUUUCUUCUGGCAAUUCAGACCAAUUUGCCAUAAUAUUAUUAUAUUAGAGCAACCGUUUUUCUGAAUUCACAACUUUUCUGAAUUUUCAGAUUAAAUCUCCAUCUAAGAAAUCAGUAGUCCUAUAUAUUUAUAGUAAAAACAAAAACUGCAAUAGGAUUUCUUUUCCAAUUAAGGUUCGAAAAUUCAGACAGAGUACCCCUAGUACUAAUUGUUUCAGAAGUCAGCACCUUCAAGGCAAUUUCGUUUUAGCUAAAGUUAAGAAACUUACCUUUAACAACAACAGCAAAACAGAAAGAGUUACCAGACCUUGAAUUAGAAACUAGAACAGAGAACAACCGCUUCAGAUCUUUAAGCCAACAAAGAGAGAGAGAGUGCAGAUCUAGGGUUAAUCAACAACAUAAGAUACGAUGAUGAUGAUGAUAUAAGCUGUAAGCAACCUGUUGCCCAAGUACAACUGCUUUUAAGUUUUAAUGCUGUUUGGUUGGGUAAAGUUGUCAAACACUUCAACAUACAUACUAAUAAAGUGAGUUUUGUUUUUUUUUCUUAAUAUUAUUUUAAGAAACACUAAAGUUUGGUACCGAAGGAAGUAUUCAAGCAAUUGCCCUUUUAAUUAAUCAAGGUGUUGUUGACAAUAUACUCCAACAUGAUUUUUUUUUUUGGUAGAUUUUGAUACAUACAUAUACCUACAUACAAUGAUGCCUUAAAUGCUCACUAUGGGACAGAGAAGAUGUAGCUAGCUCUGUUCGCUUUUGACAAGGAAAUAUCAGAUGAAAGUGGACCUUGGCCAUGACAGGAAACAGGGAAGGGGUGCUUCUGGGUUUCGUCAGUAAUAUUUAGGCUGCUGUUGUGGUGGGCAUCUAAACGUGGCCACAGUGUCGUGAAUGCAGCUGCUAUGUGGAGCAAUGCUCAUGAAGUCAUUACAGCAUACCAAACCAUAUAACUUCCUGUCUAGACAUAAAGGUAUCAAAUCUAAUCCCUUUCAUCCCUUCCAGUAAACUGUCAGAAACUGUAAAUUGUCAACUAAAGUGAAAAAGAAAACCAUGUAUACUCAUCUUAUGUAAUAUAAAGUUUGGCCAGCAUACCAAACUGUAUAACACAGCAAUGCAGUAUUUCAACAAGUAGCUAUGUUGGAGCUUAAACAUCAACGUCUCUUAUCUUGAUACACUUGCCAGGAAGUAUGAAUAUAUAAAUGAAAAAAUAUAUUGGAUACAUCUUACCGCUUGUAAUGAGUCUGUUUGCACUUUGCACUUGUACUCUCUCUAUGCCCAAUGACAUUGGCACUUUACUACUUGCAGUCCCGUUAAGCUAGCUUAUUGUUCAAUGGAGCUUAUAGGAUCGCCUCUUGAUAUGAGAUUUGGAGACAAUGCAAAAAGAUUUAUCUACUGUUUCUAUGAAGAAGAGUGUUAAAAAUUGACAAAUUAUAAGAAGAUUAGGAGUUAUUAUGCCGAAUAGGUGCAGCUUGUGUGAAUUGGAUAAAGAAGGCUCCCCAAUGGUAUGGUAUUGGAUCAUUGGAUGCUUGACAAAGAUGAAAGAAGGGGACACAGGUUCAGUGAGCUGUUGCAGAGGUGAUCGAGGAAUAGUUAACACAGGAUUAGGUUAACUGUCGGGAAUCAAUAUGUAGCUAAAACUUACAAUGCAUUGGAGAAGGAACACUUCUGUUAUAAGAACUGAUGUAUUCUUUGUUUUUUGCAUCAAUAAAUAACAUCUCUUUUAUCCACCUAAAAACUAGAUUUGCAAAAAAUAGCUUCCUUUUUUUCUUUCUUUCUGAGUAUGCCCUCAUAUUUAGCUCCUUCAUUACCAAGCUACCAUCUGUGUUCAAGCUUACCCAUGGUUUCCUGACCUCCGUGAGAAUGUCGUGUAUAUUCUUGAUCUGAGGUUAGCAUUAGUCCAGCAAUAGAGAUAGCUUGCCUGUUGUCUACAAUCUACACCGUCAUCGAACGUAUUGUAAUUAAAUUUCAUUAAUUUUUAUCUUCUUCUUUUGAAAGAACAAAUUUAUGCCAUCAAUUCAGCUAAGCCAUGCACUCAGAAAGGGUAGCAGUGUAGUACAUUUUUUUUGGGAUUUGACUCAUGUAAACAUUCAUUCUAUCUGCUCUUCUGCGUGAAAAUUACCCCUUUAAUUUAUGUUUCUUUGUUUUGUAAUUCACCUUUCAUCUUGUAUUGUGAGUGUACCCACUUGAUGUCUCUUUCACUCCAUGCUUGUAAGUAACCAGUAAGAUUUCCCAUAAAAUAAAGCAGACAAACUUGCUUUAAACAUUCAGAUCUCAAGAAACUCGAAACCCUUCAAGGAUAUUCAUAGCAUGACAACUUUUCUUGUUAGUGGGAAGGAAUUAGUAGCAUUCCUAGAAAACACAGGAGAGACAGAUAAAUGAAUCAAGACUCCAAAUAUCCUCUAGUUGAAUUUCAGGCUGGGUUUAUCAAAAACGAAAUUGCCUUACAUGAGUUAACCGAGAGAUGGGUACAUUUCAAUUUUAAAAUUAUGGGGGCGAUUUUGUCAUUGAAAGUACGUUUCAGUUAAGAUGGGUAGUUAGGUCUAAUUUAAGAUAUGGAUAAUAAUAAUAAUAGUUGGAAAUUUUGAUAGGUUUGAAAAAUAAUAUCAUGAAACUUUUUAUUGAAUUUAUUUUGUAGUCUAGAAGUUCAUCUUCAUAUUGAUUAUCGAUGAUAUUACUAUGAGUGCAGACUACUUUCAUAGAGAAUUAUGAAAGAGAACCUGAAGCUCAGUGGGCCCUUUCACAGAGAACCCUACAUGGUCUUCUUCAACUUCUAGAGACCAAUAAAUUAUUCUGCCAGAGGAGCAGCUAUAGGGAACUUCCUGAAAGAGGCUAGCUGAGCUGCGAGGUUAGGUAAAUGCUGCAAAAUAUUAAUUACCAUGGAGAAACUAAGGGCCCGGAAAUGUAUUUCUUAACUUCUCAGAAGGAGAGAAGUUAGAAGCAUGUUCCAAGACCAUUACAACACUGCUUUCAAUGACAAUAAAAUCUUGAUUGGACUUUUACAGAGUGUUAAAGGGUCGAUCAAUUUCAAGUUAAUCUACAACUGAAUGUCUUGAGCCCACUGCAAACAAACUCAGCAACAAGGUGCAGAGUUUUACCUUGAAAUUUGCAUGUCAGUGUGCUCAUAUAAUCUUAGAAUUCGCAUUUUCCGCAUACGUUUUCAAUUUGGACAAGAAAAAAAUGGAUACAAUUUAUGAAGCAAUCAACCAUAAGUACAACAGAAUCUCAAGGAAUCGGGAAAACGCCAUUAACCAGAACUACAAUGAUAUAAAAAGAAAAAUCUCUUAAUUAAACUAGCUAAAUAUGAAGAAAUCAAACAAAAAGAUGAAACCAUGAAAUUUUAAACUAAACAAAGGGAACCCAAUAUAACCAACUCAGGAUUGACUUUCAAAUCAUUCGACCAAGAUAAAGUUUGACAACUUCAUAACGAAAUAAUAACAAUAAUUUAAAUGUUAUACAUUGACACAUUGAUUUGAAAGACAACAUUACAGAGUAGGCAUAAAGAAAAUUGGGCGAGAAAACUUAGAAAGUUGAUGAUCAUCAAAAUAAAAAGGCUCUAUCCUAUUAUUCUUGAUAUCAUAGAUUCCCAUGUCGCAGAAGCCGCGUUGAUAAGAGUUAGAAUGGUCGUCAGUGAAGUAGAUGCAAUUCUCUUUAAAUUCUGGGUAGUCAGAAGUUGAGAUGGCAAAAGAAGUAUUAUUCCCUAGAAACAAAGCAUGGUCACCCAAAUCUUCUACCUCAGCCCAUGUCUUUGAAUUAAAAUCAAACUUGUACACCACAAAAUAUGUUGUUUCGUUGUGGAAGGCUAACGUAGGUACAUCAUCUACAGGAUCGAAAGCUCGUUCAACCAUGCAAAGAUCCCCAGUCAAUUCAACGAGAUAAAAUGUGCUACAGACAUAUAUAUUAUCUGGAGGUGAUGCAAAAUCUGUUGCUUUAGGCUGCCGUGUGUUGACCUCAAUAAUUCUUAACAUUCCAUCACAAGAAAUAGCAUAAAAGUGGUCAUUGAAGAAUAUGAUGUCUUGGUAGUUUGACCUAGAACAAUCCACGGAUGUCCAAACUUCAUCUCCAGGAGAAGCAACAGCAAGAUAGCAUAUUUCUCCAUAUAUAGCCAUAACCAAAGGGCAUUGUCCAGUCUCAGGGAUAGAUGGAUCAGAUGAAAGAGCAAAUUUUAUAAAGUAACUCUGACAAAGGUGUUCAGGACAAUACGCAUCGAAUUGGUGUUGGUGUUCAAACGUGGGCUGUGAUGGAAGAGAUAUUUGAACACGGGAUAAUGGAUGUAAAAGAUGGAUAUUAAGGUCAAGACCAAAGGUGAGCAACCAACCAUAUGGAGUUCCCCAACCUCUUGUUCGUUUAGCUUGAGGCAAAUAAUAAUUGAAAAGUCUUUUGGUAGAAUGACAAUAAAAAGAACGAAUUGCUCCUUUCUUAAAUUGUUUGUCGUUUUUACGGAUAAUAUUACUGUUUUGUUUUUUCAGUACAGAAUUCCAUGACUUGCAAACACAACUAAAUUGGGCAAAUUCAUUAGGAUAAGGUGGCAGUCGUUUGGCAACAAGAUCAAUGAUUUCUUCUGGCAAUUCAGACCAAUUUGCCAUAAUAUUAUUAUAUUAGAGCAACCGUUUUUCUGAAUUCACAACUUUUCUGAAUUUUCAGAUUAAAUCUCCAUCAAGUGUAAAAACUGCAAUAGGAUUUCUUUUCCAAUUAAGGUUCGAAAAUUCAGACAGAGUACUCCUAGUACUAAUUGUUGUUUCAGAAGUCAGCACCUUCAAGGCAAUUUCGUUUUAGCUAAAGUUAAGAAACUUAC